rnacentral:misc_RNA from 1 species
UCUCCGUAGGUGAACCUGCGGAGGGAUCAUUACAGAGUUUUUGCCCGCAAGGGUAGAUCUCCCACCCUAUGUUAUUCCUUCUCUGUUGCUUUGGCGGGCCGUCCGGCCUCGGUCAAGCCACCGGCUCCGGCUGGUGAGCGCCCGCCAGAGGACCCCAAACCCUAAAUGUCAGUGUCGUCUGAGUACUAUAUAAUAGUUAAAACUUUCAACAACGGAUCUCUUGGUUCUG